rnacentral:rRNA from 1 species
UACGUAGGGUGCGAGCGUUAAUCGGAAUUACUGGGCGUAAAGUGUGCGCAGGCGGCCGCGCAAGUCGGGUGUGAAAGCCCCGAGCUUAACUUGGGAAUUGCGCUCGAAACUACGUGGCUGGAGUGUGGCAGAGGAAGGUGGAAUUCCACGUGUAGCGGUGAAAUGCGUAGAGAUGUGGAGGAACACCGAUGGCGAAGGCAGCCUUCUGGGCCAACACUGACGCUCAUGCACGAAAGCGUGGGGAGCAAACAGG